rnacentral:rRNA from 1 species
GAUGAACGCUGGCGGCGUGCCUAAUACAUGCAAGUCGAGCGAACGGACGAGAAGCUUGCUUCUCUGAUGUUAGCGGCGGACGGGUGAGUAACACGUGGAUAACCUACCUAUAAGACUGGGAUAACUUCGGGAAACCGGAGCUAAUACCGGCGAAUAUUUUGAACCGCAUGGUUCAAAAGUGAAAGACGGUCUUGCUGUCACUUAUAGAUGGAUCCGGGUUGCAUUAGCUAGUUGGUAAGGUAACGGCUUACCAAGGCAACGAUGCAUAGCCGACCUGAGAGGGUGAUCGGCCACACUGGAACUGAGACACGGUCCAGACUCCUACGGGAGGCAGCAGUAGGGAAUCUUCCGCAAUGGGCGAAAGCCUGACGGAGCAACGCCGCGUGAGUGAUGAAGGUCUUCGGAUCGUAAAACUCUGUUAUUAGGGAAGAACAUAUGUGUAAGUAACUGUGCACAUCUUGACGGUACCUAAUCAGAAAGCCACGGCUAACUACGUG